CCCGCACAAGCGGAGGAACAUGUGGUUUAAUUCGAUGAUACGCGAGGAACCUUACCCGGGCUUGAAUUGCAACUGCAUAUUUUGGAAACAGAAUAGCCAGCAAUGGCAGUUGUGAAGGUGCUGCAUGGUUGUCGUCAGCUCGUGCCGUGAGGUGUCGGCUUAAGUGCCAUAACGAGCGCAACCCUUACUGAUAGUUACUAACAGGCAAUGCUGAGGACUCUAUCAAGACUGCCGUCGUAAGAUGUGAGGGAGGUGGGGAUGACGUCAAAUCAGCACGGCCCUUACGUCCGGGGCCACACACGUGUUACAAUGGGGGGUACAGAAGGUCGCUACCUGGCAACAGGAUGCUAAUCCCAAAAACCUCUCACAGUUCGGAUUGGAGUCUGCAACUCGACUCCAUGAAGCUGGAUUCGCUAGUAAUCGCGCAUCAGCCAUGGCGCGGUGAUACGUUCCCGGGCCUUGUACACACCGCCCGUCAAGCCAUGGGAGCCGGGGGUACCUGAAGUGCGUAACCGUAAGGAGCGCCCUAUGGGUAAAACUGGUGACUGGGGCUAAG
rnacentral:rRNA from 1 species